CUUUUUGUCUUUAGUUCAAGGAGAGUAUGUAGUUAAAAUACUGCUUUCAGAAGUUACCUGGGGUUAAUUCUUUUCCCCCAGCCUCCUUCAGUGUAGUUAUAUUAUUCAUUUCAAAUAUAGUUAGGUACAUUUUUUCAUUUGUGUUUCAUUUUGGGUUCUUCCCUCCUAUUAUUAUUAGCAGCAGUAGCAGUAGCAGUAGUAGUAGUAGUAGUAGUAUAUGAAACAUUAAUGUGGUUUUAAAAGAACUGUACAAAAAGAUUGGUUAGGUUAUUAGAGUACUGAGAAAUAAAACUUAUGACUUUUAAUUGUGUUUGUUCUUUCAGGGAAUCAUUUAAUACUUCACAUUAGGACAAAUAUGUGAAAGUUCCUGCCAACCUGUGAGAAUUUCUUCCUUUGGACAUUUUUUGUUCUACUUACUGUACAACUUUCUUAGAAGCUCUUUUUUGAUGCCAUGUUCUGUGGCUUGCAUCAAAAGAGGAGUUUGUCUUCAUGAAGAUUCCUAACAUUGGUAAUGUGAUGAAUAAAUUUGAGAUCCUUGGGGUUGUAGGUGAAGGAGCCUAUGGAGUUGUACUUAAAUGCAGACACAAGGCAAGUACAUAAUUUUUAAAAAGAAGAUAUCUAUAUAUGUUUAACUGUUUUGAAACUAAUGUAGUGUUCUGUGCAUGUGGGCAUAUAAUUAAAACUGGCUAUGAUGGUGAUGAUGCUUAAUAAAGGAGAAUUAAUAUGGGAACCCUGAAAAAAGAGACUUCUUUGGGUAAGCUUUAUCAUGAUUAAGUAGUUAGUUCUUUACAGUCAUGUGCUCUUUUUUUCAACUGACCUAUGUGUAGGUGAAAAGCUGCCUAAUGGGAAGAGAGAAAAGAUGGUAGAGAAGAAAUCAAAGUAGUGACAGAUUUAAUUUAUGUUCAAGUACUUAAGAGCAAGGAGGAGUUUCAUGUCAACAUUUUUCUUGUAGACCCAAUAACUUAGACUGCUUAUUGGGUCAGAAUCCAGAUUUUGAAGGGUAGUGUAUAGGUGUUUGGUUAUGAAAUAGGGCUUGGGGUAAUAGUGUAUGAUUAUGACUGUUAGCUGUGGUUGAU
rnacentral:lncRNA from 1 species